rnacentral:rRNA from 1 species
AUCAUUAAUUAUGUUAAAGCGCCUUACCUUAGGGUUUCCUCUGGGGUAAGUGAUUGCUUCUACACUGUGAAAAUUUGGCUGAGAGACUCAGACUGGUCAUGGGUAGACCUAUCUGGGGUUUGAUCGAUGCCACUCCUGGUUUCAGGAGCACCCUUCAUAAUAAACCUAGAAAUUCAGUAUUAUAAAGUUUAAUAAAAAACAACUUUUAACAAUGGAUCUCUUGGUUCUCGCAUCGAUGAAGAACGUAGCAAAGUGCGAUAACUAGUGUGAAUUGCAUAUUCAGUGAAUCAUCGAGUCUUUGAACGCAGCUUGCACUCUAUGGUUUUUCUAUAGAGUACGCCUGCUUCAGUAUCAUCACAAACCCACACAUAACAUUUGUUUAUGUGGUGAUGGGUCGCAUCGCUGUUUUAUUACAGUGAGCACCUAAAAUGUGUGUGAUUUUCUGUCUGGCUUGCUAGGCAGGAAUAUUACGCUGGUCUCAGGAUCUUUUUUUUUGGUUCGCCCAGGAAGUAAAGUACAAGAGUAUAAUCCAGCAACUUUCAAACUAUGAUCUGAAGUCAGGUGGGAUUACCCGCUGAACUUAAGCAUAUCAAUAAGCGGAGGAAAAGAAAAUAACAAUGAUUUCCCUAGUAACGKCGAGUGAAGAAGAAAGACUC